UACCAGCUCUCCGAGUGGUGUGGACGUUUAUUGGGCCUAAAGCAUCCGUAGCUGGCCAAACAAGUCCCCUGUUAAACCCACCGAUUUAAUCGUUGGUCUGCGGGGGAUACUGCUCGGCUAGGGGACGAGAGAGGCAGGCGGUAUUCCCGGGGUAGGGGUGAAAUCCUAUAAUCCCGAGAAGACCACCAGUGGCGAAGGCUGCCUGCUAGAACGCGCCCGACGGUGAGGGAUGAAAGCUGGGGGAGCGAACCGGAUUAGAUACCCGGGUAGUCCCAGCUGUAAACGAUGCAGACUAGGUGUUUGGACGGCCACGUGCCGUUCUAGUGCCGCAGGGAAGCUGUUAAGUCUGCCGCCUGGGGAGUACGAUCGCAAGAUUGAAACUUAAAUGAAUUGACGG
rnacentral:rRNA from 1 species